ACUUUUAUACAAACUGUACAUUCAUUCUUUCAUCACAAUGUGGAAAGUCAACUUGCUACAUUGUGGUAUAAAUAUGGAAAUGAUGUCAUCCUAGUAGAAAAAUACAGACAUCAAUGCCUAACUUGUUACAGGAAUACAAAAAAGGAUCACUAAUCAAAUGUGACUGUAAACUGCUUUGAAAAAAAUCCUACAAAAUCUUGACACACUUGUGAAUCCUAAAAGGGAGCUGAAACAAUGACUAAGAAUAAAUACAAGAUACUGUUGUGGAAAUGACAAUCAAACGUGAUGUUUGUCAAGCUGCAGUUUCUGCAUUUCCGGAUGGGGUUAAUACUCUAAUAAUGUAUGCACUUUAAACACGCUUCUUUGUGUAACAUGUUUAUACAACACGCUUCUUUGUGUCACAUGUUUAUGUGAGAGGAUUGUUUGUGUGUGUCCUUCAGCUGCUGGUGUGCACGUAGGUGUUCUCUAUGCACAGCACCAUGUAUUGCUGGGAGCAGGAUCGGGUGUGUUGGCCCAGCAGGCGUCCCGUCUGAAGCAGCCCCGCCUGGCCCGUCACCGCCAUGUCGUCGGUCCGCCACGCUUCGCAGUAGUUUGUGGUAGCGCGGAUUCCUGCGGCGCUGGAACCGUGCCAGAUCAGCUUCUCGGGCCUGGAACACACACACGUACACACACAUGGCAAGAUUCGGACUUUUCGACCACAUAAAAUUGGCUACCACUGACAGACAGGAUGAGGUCCCGGGUUGAAUCCCCAACAUUUCUACUACAGAGGCAUUUUUCUCAGGUCUUAAGAAGCUCCUGUCCAACACACACACCUUCAACACCUCUUCAAGAGACCUUGUCUCUGGACCUACCUGACUGUGUGGUCUGCUCUUCUCUCCGGCUCUGCUCUGGCUCUCAAAGGCUGACUCAGAAUGGAUCAUCUCCCCGAGCUAAGCACAACACACACACACACACUGUGAUGGACCAGUCUGGGUUUGGAGCUUGCCAGGAGAACGCUACAUUUCGGACUGCAUUGUGCCCAGUGUGACAUUUGGUGGAGGUGGAAUUUUCAGGAGUUAGUUCCAGUGAAAGGAACUUUAAAUGCUUCCAACAUGACUGUGCACAAUAAGCAAGGUCCAUAAAGAUAUUCAUGUCAGAGUCUGGUGCGGAUGAACUUGACUGGCCUGCACAGAGUCCUGACCUGAACCCAGAUAGAACACCUUUGGGAUGAAUUAGAGCAGAGACUUUUCAUUCUGAAACAUAUGUUUGAUUCAUUGUCAACAUUCCAUAUCUCCAUUAUGUGGCAGCUUGGAUUUUCCCUCUUUGGUGUCGCUUCCUGUCUCGCGCUCUUCUUUUGGCGGCACUUCCUGUUAUGUUGGGAGUGUUUUCCUGACCGCUUCACACGUCUUUCUCUGAACACUGACGCACGCACCUGUACUUUGUCUUAGCAAUCACUUCUAUUUGGGUGUGAGCCGCCGUUCUUUGUUUAGAAUGUGGGCGCUCUUUCCCUCCCGCCGUGAGUUUUGCUGUGUUCCAGCAUUCCGUUUUGAUGUUUUGCAACCUGUCCGUUUGGUUUUUGCAUCGCCUUCCCUGUGCUUCGCUGCCUUCCUAGCCACAUUAAAUACUUUUACCUGCACCUCUGCAAUUUGGGAACGCACCACUAAAUAUACUAAAAUGUAUUAAUUCAUACAAAUAGUAUAAAUACAACAAAAAUUAAAGCUGCAAGCAGCGUUGGUCGGGUCCGCCUUUGGCUGCUGCCGGCGCUACUCAAGCCCUGGUCUAAGUCAGAUCAACAUAGAGGUUUUUGUUUCAUGUCUCUACGACAUUCCUAACAGAAGUUACAAGCAGUUUUGUCGGUUUUUUCUUAGGGGGCGCUAGAGCGCAUUUUUGAUUUUUGGGGUUUUGUUUUUUAUUAGAUGGCAAUUUUCGCCAGUCCUAAUGUGUGUGUAAAAUUUGGUGAGUUUUGAAGCAUGUUAAGGGGGUGAAUAGUAGUGCUUUAACUUGCACCUUGAAGCAUUUUAAGGGGGUCAAAUUACAGCUCAAAGAGGCAAAAAUGACAUUUUUUAGGAAAAUUUGCGCAGGUUUUUUUGAUGGCGCGUGAAAUCCAAACCGGAGCAGUAAUCAAAACUCUUUCGAUAACUUUUAAUUAGAAGGGUUCAAACUCUCUUCUGUGCGAGUUUGAAGCUGAAACGACAAACUCGCUCAGAGGAGAUAACGUUUGAAAAAGGUGACGGGUGUUUACAAAACUUUUAUUUUGAAGGGGUAAUUUUUAACUUCCUGUUAAUUUUUGCUGAAGGAUGUUGAUCAUUAAAAUGUAGGUCUAAGUGAGACCUAAAUGGAUGUUUUUGUUUCAUGUCUUUCCGACAUUCCUACGGGAAGUUACAAGCAGUUUUGUCUGUGUUUUCUUCCUAGGAGCAGUUUUUUCUGUGUUUUUUUCAAAAAUUGCGCUAGAGCGCAGUUUUGGGGUUUGGUUUUUGUCAUAUCGCAAUUUUUGCCAGUCCUGAUGUGUGUGCCAAGUUUGGUGAGUUUUGAAGCAUUUUAAGGGGGUCAAAUUACAGCUCAAAGAGGCAAAAAUGACAUUAUUUAGGAAAAUUUGCGCAGGUUUUUUUGAUGGCGCGUAAAAUCCAAACCGGAGCAGUAAUCAAAACUCUUUUGAUAACUUUUAAUUAGAAGGGUUCAAACUCUCUUCUGUGCGAGUUUGAAGCUGAAACGACAAACUCGCUCAGAGGAGAUAACGUUUGAAAAAGGUGACGGGUGUUUACAAAACUUUUAUUUUGAAGGGGUAAUUUUUAACUUCCUGUUGAUUUUUGCUGAAGGAUGUUGAUCAUUAAAAUGUAGGUCUAAGUGAGACCUACAUGGAUGUUUUUGUUUCAUGUCUUUCCGACAUUCCUACGGGAAGUUAUAAGCAGUUUUGUCUGUGUUUUCUUCCUAGGAGCAGUUUUUUCUGUGUUUUUUUCAAAAAUUGCGCUAGAGCGCAGUUUUGGGGUUUGGUUUUUGUCAUAUCGCAAUUUUUGCCAGUCCUGAUGUGUGUGCCAAGUUUGGUGAGUUUUGAAGCAUUUUAAGGGGGUCAAAUUACAGCUCAAAGAGGCAAAAAUGACAUUAUUUAGGAAAAUUUGCGCAGGUUUUUUUGAUGGCGCGUAAAAUCCAAACCGGAGCAGUAAUCAAAACUCUUUUGAUAACUUUUAAUUAGAAGGGUUCAAACUCUCUUCUGUGCGAGUUUGAAGCUGAAACGACAAACUCGCUCAGAGGAGAUAACGUUUGAAAAAGGUGACGGGUGUUCACAAAACUUUUAUUUUGAAGGGGUAAUUUUUAACUUCCUGUUGAUUUUUGCUGAAGGAUGUUGGUCAUUAAAAUGUAGGUCUAAGUGAGACCUACAUGGAUGUUUUUGUUUCAUGUCUUUCCGGCAUUCCUACGGGAAGUUACAAGCAGUUUUGUCUGUGUUUUCUUCCUAGGAGCAGUUUUUUCUGUGUUUUUUUCAAAAAUUGUGCUAGAGCGCAGUUUUGGGGUUUGGUUUUUUCAUUAUAUCGCAAUUGUUGCCAGUCUUGAUGUGUGUGCCAAGUUUGGUGAGUUUUGAAGCAUUUUAAGGGGGUCAAAUUACAGCUCAAAGAGGCAAAAAUAGCAUUUUUUUCGAAAAUGUUGCUUUGAAGAGUUUUUGCCAACUUCCUGUUGAUUUUUGCUAUAGAAGUUUAAAUUGGGAAAUGUAGGUCUAAGUCAGACCUACAUAGAGGUUUUUGUUUCAUGUCUCUACGACAUUCCUAACGGAAGUUGCAAGCAGUCUUUUUUUUUUUCUUCCUAUGGGGCGCUAGAGCGCAUUUUUGAUUUUUGGGGUUUGGUUUUUUUUAUUAGAUGGCAAUUUUCGCCAGUUCUGAUGAGUGUGUGAAAUUUGGUGAGUUUUGAAGCAUGUUCAGGGGGUUAAAUUAAAGUUCAAAGAGGCGUCGGAAUAAUAAUAAAUAAAGAAUAAUAAAACGCACGAAAAACAAUAGGUCCUUUGGCAAUGGGCCAUGCGGGCCCUAAUAAAAAUGAGGAGAUAAUAAAAAUGUGAGGACCAAAUUGCGUGUGUACGCUUCAACUGCGGCACAUCACUACUAUCAUCCAAAAAAAGUGAAGCCAAAUACGAAUAAAUACAAUAAACAUGUAAUUAUGUAAAUACAUUAGAUUGAUAUUGUUCUUUUCCCAGAGAAGUGACAAGCCACCAUUCAUGUGGUGGUAGCUAAGCUACAUUGGGCUAGACCGGGGGUCAGAAACCUGCGGCUCUUUAGCGCCGCCCUAGUGGCUCCCUGGACCACUUUCAGAGACGUGUGAAAAGGGAAAAAGACGAAGACAAAAAUAUAUUUUUUGUUCUAAUAUGGUUUAUGACACAAAUCUCCUUCAUUGUUAGAAAUCUCAAUGUUUAUAUUAAACAUGUGCAAGCUACGUUUUGUCCUACUAAUUUCAGCAACCCUUGAACUCAUCGGAGUUUGUUUACAUGUACAACUUUCUCCAGAAUGACCUGUUUUAUGCCACUCCUUCUUUGUCUCAUUUCGUCCACCAAACAUUUUAUACUGUGCGUCAAAGGUGAGCUUUGUUGAUGUUAUUGACUUGUUGGAGUGCUCAUCAAACAUAUUUGGUGACUGCAUGACAUAUUGCAUCACUAUGCUAUAUUUGAACUCAUUUAAUAUCCUAUACUUAGGUCCUCUGUGUAUUUAAUUUGUAUUUGCAUGUUUCAUGACACAUUUUCUGUAUGUAAUAAUGGCUGCGUUUCUCAUAGUUGUUUGUGCGCCAUGAUGUUCCAGACCACAGCAAACGUUGGCGAGCUUGCAAAGCUCGUAAUAAAUAUGUUGUUUCCUUUAACUUGGACACACACAUCUAUACUUUUGGUUAUUCUGAGCCAGUCAUUUCCAGGAGUCAUGGUGUUCCAACCCGUCUGUCACGGGCCUGCUUCCUGACCAUGUCUCUGCCCUUAGGGCCCCUCCUCAUUCCAUACCUGGACCUGGCGCCAGCCGCCGUGGGAUCUGAUGUACAGAUGUCCGCCGCCCUCAGACACGUAGGCCAGGGUUCCCUCUGCAGCCCUCUGGGUGUCUCUGGUCAGAGCAUGGACUGUCUUGUAGGUGCUCACCUGGGCAGGUCGGGCCCAGAGGACAAAGCCUGGAGGUGGAACCGGAAGCUCUCGCUCUCACCCCACGACGGUAGAACAGCCCUGCUGGCCCCUGGAUGCCGCUGGGGCCCAUGUUUCCCUUUGGCCCUCUGGGACCCUGGGACGGGAAAAAGAAUCCAGGAGGAGAACUGCCUGACAGGAGUUUCGUACAAUGUCUUCUAGGGUGGGCUGAGGGCGGCCGAUAAUCUUCUCCGUUGUCCUGGUCACCCUCAGUGUUAUCAACAACAACCGAUGUCAAGGCAGACUGAAGUAUUUACCCUGGAACACAAUCAGUCGGACUUAGGACAAGACUGAGCCUUCAACCGGAAGUACAAGUCCAUAGCACUGAUUCUUCAUUCAUCACUCCGAGCGACGUUUUUUUGGAAAUCCACCAAGAGGCCACCGUGGAGUUAUUGAGUCUGUUCGGCUGAUUGGAGAGCUAGCUUGCCAUGACUUCUGUUUUGUUUGAUCAGCCGUUUUACUGCCGCGUUACAGACGCAGUUUGGAAAGAAUUAAGAUGGAGAAUUCAUCACAAGCGCCUUUCCGUGUCUUUCUCGCCAUCCCCGGCUCUAAGUUGGAUGCCAAAUUGGACCAACCUCCACCUUCUACUAUCCAGGUGACUCACUGGUGCUCCCGGUUGGCCGUUGACUCCGUCUUUUCCCGGGGCCCCGGUUGGCCCGGCAUAGGUGUGAAAGAGGCCCUGGUCAACGCCACCUGAGGAUGGGUGGGGCCCAGGAAGACCAGGUGGUCCUGGAGGCCCUGGCAGCCCAGGGGGCCCCUAGGAGACACGGUACAAGGAAUGUUGACCACUACU